rnacentral:rRNA from 1 species
CCUACGGGAGGCAGCAGUGGGGGAUAUUGCACAAUGGGGGAAACCCUGAUGCAGCGACGCCGCGUGGGUGAAGAAGUAUUUCGGUAUGUAAAGCCCUAUCAGCAGGGAAGAAAGAAGACGGUACCUGACUAAGAAGCGCCUGCCCACUACGGGCCAGCAGCCGCGGUAAUAGGUAGGGGGCGGGCGUUAUCCGGAUUCACUGGGGGUAAAGGGAGCGUAGGCGGGCGUGCAAGCCAGGAGGGAAAGCCCGGGGCCCAACCCGGGGACUGCAGUUGAAACUGGACGGCUAGAGUGCGGGAGGGGCAGGCGGAAGUCCUGGUGUAGCGGUGAAAUGCUUAGAUAUCAGGAGGAACACCGACGGCGAAGGCAGCCUGCUGGGGCGCGACUGACGUUGAGGCUCGAAGGCGUGGGGAGCAAACAGGAUUAGAUACCCGAGUAGUC